CCUACGGGGGGCUGCAGUUUCGAAUCAUUCACAAUGGGCGAAAGCCUGAUGGUGCAACGCCGCGUGGGGGACGACGGUCUUCGGAUUGUAAACCCCUGUCACCAGGGACUAAUAUGCAUCCAUUAAUAGUGGUUGCCUUGAAUUAACCUGGAGAGGAAGCAGUGGCUAACUCUGUGCCAGCAGCCGCGGUAAUACAGAGACUGCAAGCGUUAUUCGGAUUCACUGGGCGUAAAGGGUGCGCAGGCGGUUAGAUGUGUCAGGUGUGAAAUCUCGAGGCUUAACCUCGAAACUGCGUCUGAAACUAUCUGACUAGAGUAUCGGAGAGGUGAGCGGAAUUCAUGGUGUAGCAGUGAAAUGCGUAGAUAUCAUGAGGAACACCAGAGGCGAAGGCGGCUCACUGGACGAUUACUGACGCUCAGGCACGAAAGCGUGGGUAGCGAAAGGGAUUAGAUACCCUGGUAGUC
rnacentral:rRNA from 1 species